rnacentral:rRNA from 1 species
CGCCCAACAGCUAGCCCCUCCAUCAACCCCAAAUUAACCCUAUCUAUAUCCCCAAAUAUACCACUCUUUCAACAACAAACCAUUUUUCCACCUAAGUACGGGCGACGAAAAAGGACCUAGGAGCAACAGAGAAAGUACCGCAAGGGAACGCUGAAAGAGAAAUGAAACAACCCAGUAAAGCACUAAAAAGCAGAGAUUACUCCUCGUACCUUUUGCAUCAUGAUUUAGCCAGAAAACCUCAAGCAAAAAGCAUUAUAGUUUGAUACCCCGAAACUAAGCGAGCUACUCCAAGGCAGUCUAAUUUAUAGGACCCCCCCGUCUCUGUGGCAAAAGAGUGGGAAGAACUUCGAGUAGAGGUGACAGACCUACCGAGCCUAGUUAUAGCUGGUUGCCUGAAAACUGAAUAAAAGUUCAGCCCUUUAAAUUCUCCAUUCCCAUUGGCCUAAGGCCUUCACACCGAGCAAAGAAGUUAAAGGAGUUAGUCAAAGGGGGUACAGCCCCUUUGAAACAAGAUACAACUUUCCAAGGAGGGUAAAAAUCACAACGAACAAAAAGGUUAAAUGUCCUAGUGGGCCUAAAAGCAGCCACCUACCCAGAAAGCGUUAAAGCUCGAACAUCACCUAAUUAGCCUUCUAAUAAGGACAAUACAAUUUCACCCCCCUUAAACCUACCAGGCCGUUUCAUAAAACUAUGGAAGCGUUUAUGCUAACAUGAGUAAUAAGAGGACCCACCUCUCCCCGCACAAGUGUAACUCGGAACGAACCCUUCACCGACCAUUAACGGCCCCAAAACAAAGAGGGCCCUAGGCAAAAAACAAACAACUGGAAAACCCCCUAGUUCCUCACCGUUAACCCCACACUGGUGUGCAAACCAGGAAAGACUAAAAGAAAAAGAAGGAACUCGGCAAACACAAGCCUCGCCUGUUUACCAAAAACAUCGCCUCUUGAACCCCUAAAUAUAAGAGGUCCCGCCUGCCCUGUGACUAUAAGUUUAACGGCCGCGGUAUUUUGACCGUGCAAAGGUAGCGCAAUCACUUGUCUUUUAAAUGAAGACCUGUAUGAAUGGCAUAACGAGGGCUUAACUGUCUCCUUUUUCCAGUCAAUGAAAUUGAUCUCCCCGUGCAGAAGCGGGGAUAUUAACAUAAGACGAGAAGACCCUAUGGAGCUUUAGACACCAGAACAGACCAUGUUAAACACCCCUCAAAUAAAAGACAAAACUCAUUGGCCCCUGUUCUAAUGUCUUUGGUUGGGGCGACCGCGGGGAAACAACAAACCCCCAUGUGGACCGGGAGCACACUACCCCCACAACCCAGAGUCACAACUCCAAGUAACAGAACUUCUGACCGACAAGAUCCGGCGCAUAGCCGAUCAACGGACCGAGUUACCCUAGGGAUAACAGCGCAAUCCUCUUCUAGAGCCCAUAUCGACAAGAGGGUUUACGACCUCGAUGUUGGAUCAGGACAUCCUAAUGGUGCAGCCGCUAUUAAGGGUUCGUUUGUUCAACGAUUAAAGUCCUACGUGAUCUGAGUUCAGACCGGAGUAAUCCAGGUCAGUUUCUAUCUAUGUCACGAUCUUUUCUAGUACGAAAGGACCGAAAAGAAGGGGCCCCUGUUCUCAAUAUGCCUCCCCCUCAUCUAUUGAAAUCAACUAAAAUAGAUAAAAGGGCGUACCCCCUAG